rnacentral:snRNA from 1 species
GGAUGUGAGGGCAAUCUGGCUGUGACAUCUGUUACCCCAUGGAUCGCCAGGGUUGAUUCCGCUGAUCUGGCUGGCUAGGCGGAUGUCCCCUUCCUCCCUCACCCGCUCCAUGUGCUUCCCUCCUGAAGCUGCCCACUUGGGUUGAAGAGGACAACCUUCCAGGAAUAGAGGAGGACCAGUCUUUGGUCAAGCGUAUACGAGAGUAGCUAUGCUCCCCUGCCAGAACCUCCAAACAAGCUCUCAAGAGCCCACCAUUUACACUAUUUUUGAACUCUGUUAAAUAUGGUAAUACUGAUAUCCUUUGACACAUCAGUCAACCAGGAGAC